rnacentral:lncRNA from 11 species
CAGACUAAACUCGCCUGAUGCUCCUUUAAAAAGAUUUUAAAGCUGCUUUCUUUUUCUUCAAGUACUUCUUGAAACCUUUUCUUGGCUCCCGUGCCUCAAAGACACCCACCCUAGGUUUACUCCAUUAUUGUUCACUUUAAUGGCUUGAAUAACAAAGUAUGACUCAAACGAAGUUUCUUGCUUAUUGCCUGUACUCCAAGAGAUCUAACCACAUGCAGUAGAAGAAAGAAAUCCCAGAUGAAUGUGACAUUCCCUGAUAUGUAUACCUGUGAAAGAAUUAUGCUAAGGAUUGCUUCAUUAUCACUGCAAGUCCACACGAGGAUUGUUUUUCAGAAGCAUAUCACAGUAUCAUCCACUUUUUAUGGAUAAAAGCUUCCCACCCAAGAUAUAAACCUCCUAGCAACCAUCAUAAUUAUGGAUAUGACC